UCCGGUUAAUUACAAACUCGUAUGGAUUUGUAUGAACGUGAGACAUAUCGUUGGACCGUCACUGGCCAACAAAUAUAACACAACUUUCGACAACGGAUCUCUUGGUUCUCCCAUCGAUGAAGAACGCAGCGAAACGCGAUAGGUAAUGUGAAUUGCAGAAUUCCGUGAAUCAUCGAAUCUUUGAACGCACCUUGCGCUCUAUGGUAUUCCGUA
rnacentral:misc_RNA from 1 species